GAUGAACGCUGGCGGCGUGCCUAAUACAUGCCAGUCGAGCGAACAGAUGAGGAGCUUGCUCCUCUGACGUUAGCGGCGGACGGGUGAGUAACACGUGGAUAACCUACCUAUAAGACUGGGAUAACUUCGGGAAACCGGAGCUAAUACCGGAUAAUAUAUUGAACCGCAUGGUUCAAUAGUGAAAGACGGUUUUGCUGUCACUUAUAGAUGGAUCCGCGCCGCAUUAGCUAGUUGGUAAGGUAACGGCUUACCAAGGCAACGAUGCGUAGCCGACCUGAGAGGGUGUUCGGCCACACUGGAACUGAGACACGGUCCAGACUCCUACGGGAGGCAGCAGUAGGGAAUCUUCCGCAAUGGGCGAAAGCCUGACGGAGCAACGCCGCGUGAGUGAUGAAGGUCUUCGGAUCGUAAAACUCUGUUAUUAGGGAAGAACAAAUGUGUAAGUAACUAUGCACGUCUUGACGGUACCUAAUCAGAAAGCCACGGCUAACUACGUG
rnacentral:rRNA from 1 species